GCAUAACGCGAAGAACCUUACCUAGGCUUGACAUGCAUCUCUAAGCGCGUGAAAGCGCGUGACCCUUCGGGGAAUUUGCACAGGUGCUGCAUGGCCGUCGUCAGCUCGUGUCGUGAGAUGUUGGGUUAAGUCCCGCAACGAGCGCAACCCUUGUGACUAGUUGCCAGCACGUUAUGGUGGGAACUCUAGUCAGACUGCCCAGAUCAACUGGGAGGAAGGUGGGGACGACGUCAGGUCAGUAUGGCCCUUACGCCUUGGGCUGCACACGUACUACAAUGCCCAGUACAAUGAGAACCGAGACCGCGAGGUGGAGGAAAUCUAAAAAACUGGGCCCAGUUCGGAUUGGAGGCUGCAACUCGCCUCCAUGAAGUUGGAAUCGCUAGUAAUGGCGCAUCAUCUACGGCGCCGUGAAUACGUUCCCGGGUCUUGUACACACCG
rnacentral:rRNA from 1 species